GAGCGCGAAUGGAGCAAUCCUAGUAGAGCGGCGCACGGGUGCGUAACACGUGGGUAAUCUGCCUCAAAGACCGGAAUAACCUGCCGAAAGGCAAGCUAAUACCGGAUAAGCCUACAGACUCUUCGGAGUCCGAAGGAAAAGGUGGCCUCUGUAUACAAGCUAUCACUUUGAGAUGAGCCCGCGGCCCAUCAGCUAGUUGGCGGGGUAAUGGCCCACCAAGGCAACGACGGGUAGCUGGUCUGAGAGGAUGAUCAGCCUCACUGGGACUGAGACACGGCCCAGACUCCUACGGGAGGCAGCAGUGGGGAAUAUUGGACAAUGGGCGCAAGCCUGAUCCAGCCAUGCCGCGUGGGUGAUGAAGGCCCUAGGGUUGUAAAGCCCUUUCGGCGGGGAAGAUAAUGACGGUACCCGCAGAAGAAGCCCCGGCUAACUUCGUG
rnacentral:rRNA from 1 species